rnacentral:lncRNA from 1 species
UGGUGUAAAAUCUUUGUUGGAGGAUGAAGCCAUAAGAGUAGGUGGUGCGAAUCACAGUCAUGCCACACAAGAUCUUUAUGACUCGAUUGCAGCCGGAAACUACCCUGAAUGGAAACUGUUCAUUCAAAUAAUGGAUCCUCUUCAUGAGGAUAGGUUUGAUUUUGACCCACUUGAUGUAACCAAGACAUGGCCAGAGGACAUCUUCCCAUUGCAGCCGGUGGGUCGAAUGGUGUUAAACAAGAACAUCGAUAACUUCUUUGCUGAGAACGAGCAAUUAGCCUUCUGCCCUUCCCUCAUUGUCCCUGGCAUCUAUUAUUCAGAUGAUAAGUUGCUUCAAACUAGAAUCUUCUCCUAUUCUGACACUCAAAGGCACCGUCUUGGACCGAAUUAUCUGCAGCUUCCAGCUAAUGCUCCCAAAUGUGCUCAUCACAAUAAUCACCAUGAAGGUUUUAUGAAUUUUAUGCAUAGAGAUG